UGACAGUUCAUUAUGUUACUUAGCUAUGUCUUGUAUAUUGCUAACAUUGAUUAGCUUAAUUUUCGAUUUAUUAUUCUUUCAAUAAUUUAAACAUUUUCAGUAAUUUGCUUGUUUGCCAUAUUAUCAUAGAUUUAUUCAGUAUAAUUGGAGUGUCAAGUGCGGCUCUUUAGUAAUCAUACAUUGAUGACGACUUUCGACGGUUUUAUGAACGUCAUUUAAUUUUCUAUUUAUUUUAUUUAUCAUAAUAUUAUUAUCUUUAUUCAGUUGGAUUACUGACUUUUAUUGCUUCAUUUUAAUUAUAUUGUUCCUGUAAAUGAUUUCCAUCGCGUUUACCAGUUUACAUCCAGUAUCCAUUUAUUGUAUGGUUUCUGAUAUUUACCAACGAAUAAAACAAUUUAAUGCUAAUCAAAUAGGUAUUGUAGUUUUAUAAAUAUAUAUUUUUAAUGUUCUUAAUUAAUUAUAAUUUUGAAAUUCUUAUUAUUCACUGGGAACCACCAAUUAUUUAGAUAACAUAUUAUAAUAAACAUUUUUUUUUCCAAACUAAUCGAAAACGACGAAACAGGAGAUACCGCAGAGUAUUAAGGUUUUUUUUCGAUACAUAUGGAUACAAAUUGGACAUAUACUGGAGAAUGAACAAAAUAACAUCGGCACGAAGCAUUUUCGACGGUUACUAGGCACAGAUAUUAUUCGAUUGUAGUUUCACUCGUAAUAAAUAAAAUUUAUAAAAUUUCAUUCGGAAAUCACAUUACAUUAAAUUCAUUGGGACGUAUGGUGAAAAGCCUUCACUCUGGUAAACCACGGAAGAACAUCAAGCUUGGCAGGAUAAUUGCGUAACCACUUUCUACCCAUAAUCAGAUGUGAAUUGGGAUGAUUUU